rnacentral:rRNA from 1 species
GGNAUCUUUACAUGCAAGUCGAACGGCAGCACGGGAGCUUGCUCCUGGUGGCGAGUGGCGAACGGGUGAGUAAUGCAUCGGAAUGUACCGUGUAGUGGGGGAUAGCUCGGCGAAAGCCGGAUUAAUACCGCAUACGUCUUGCGAGAGAAAGUGGGGGACCUUUGGGCCUCACGCUAUACGAGCAGCCGAUGUCUGAUUAGCUAGUUGGUGGGGUAAGAGCCUACCAAGGCGACGAUCAGUAGCGGGUCUGAGAGGAUGAUCCGCCACACUGGGACUGAGACACGGCCCAGACUCCUACGGGAGGCAGCAGUGGGGAAUUUUGGACAAUGGGGGCAACCCUGAUCCAGCCAUGCCGCGUGUCUGAAGAAGGCCUUCGGGUUGUAAAGGACUUUUGUCAGGGAGGAAAUCCCGCUGGUUAAUACCUGGCGGGGAUGACAGUACCUGAAGAAUAAGCACCGGCUAACUACGUGCCAGCAGCCGCGGUAAUACGUAGGGUGCGAGCGUUAAUCGGAAUUACUGGGCGUAAAGCGUGCGCAGGCGGUUUUGCAAGUCUGAUGUGAAAGCCCCGGGCUCAACCUGGGAACGGCAUUGGAGACUGCAAGACUAGAGUGCGUCAGAGGGGGGUAGAAUUCCGCGUGUAGCAGUGAAAUGCGUAGAGAUGCGGAGGAAUACCGAUGGCGAAGGCAGCCCCCUGGGAAUGACACUGACGCUCAUGCA